rnacentral:pre_miRNA from 1 species
AGGAGGAACAACCGCAGUGGCGGGGCCGCUCUGCAGCCCUGGAUUCAGCCCCCGCAGUAGCUCCGGAGCUCUCGGUCUGCAGGGCCUGGAGGCUCCGGGGCGGG